rnacentral:rRNA from 1 species
UGAGGAAUAUUGGUCAAUGGGCGGAAGCCUGAACCAGCCAAGUAGCGUGCAGGAUGACGGCCCUAUGGGUUGUAAACUGCUUUUGAAGGGGAGUAAAGUGAGUGACUUGUCAUUCAUUGCAAGUACCCUUGGAAUAAGGACCGGCUAAUUCCGUGCCAGCAGCCGCGGUAAUACGGAGGAUGCGAGUGUUAUCCGGAUUUAUUGGGUUUAAAGGGUGCGUAGGCGGACAGUUAAGUCAGCUGUUAAAGGACCAUGCUCAGCGUGGGAAGUGCAGUUGAAACUGACAGUCUAGAGAGUACAUAAGGCAGUUGGAAUUUGUGGUGUAGCGGUGAAAUGCAUAGAUAUCACGAAGAACACCGAUAGCGAAAGCAAGCUGCCGGGGUGCGUCUGACGCUGAGGCACGAAAGUGUGGGUAUCGAACAGGAUUAGAUACCCUGGUAGUCCACACGGUAAACGAUGAAUACCGGCUUUAAGCGAUAGACAGUUUGAAGCGUAGCGAAAGCGUUAAGUAUUCCACCUGGGGAGUACGCCGGCAACGGUG